GGACACAGAGCCCUGCAGUGACCACAGCAGUGACCAGAGCUUGACACAGGGCCCUGCAGUGACCACAGCAGUGACCAGAGCUCGACACAGAGCCCUGCAGUGACCACAGCAGUGACCAGAGCCAGCACAGUGCCAGGACAGCCCCUCACCUCCUGUCACCCCUGUGCUUUCAGGCUCUGGCACUGAGGUUUCAGCUUCCACGAGGGGCCUGGCACAGACCUUGCCCUGAUUAUGGAGCCACCCCAGUGAUGUUUUAAAUUAUGGAUUAACUGUUACAUAGUCAUGCACGAGGCAAUGUCCAAGGUUCUUCAGCAGCAGCGUGAGAUGCUGGUGCAGAUAAAGGCUCUUCAAGGCAGCAGGGAGCUCCGUCCUGAGCAGGGUCUGUGGAGGAAAGUGAGCUGCAGCAUUUAGAGCAGCCAUUCUCUGGGCUGGUAAAACACAAAAAACACUUUGUGCCGAGGCCACAGAAACUGGAACACCCAUCGUGGCUGCUCUCGGGCUGACCACUCCAGCUGCCCUCUCUGGUUCAGGAGGACAGGGAAAGGAGAAUUUUAAUCCUGAGGGUCUCUGUCCCAGGGAAAGGUAAGCCAUGGUAUGGUACUGCUGCUGCUGGAGCAGAGAGCCCUUAUAAAGUCCGCAGUGCUAAAAACCAGAGCCCAGACAGGAGAGUUUGUUUAAGAGAGAAUCAUUUAUUAGAAGAUAGGAGGUUGUUACGUACAGAUUCUGUCCUGCA
ensembl:lncRNA